GUUUUUAAGACACUAGCUCUCCGGCAGAAAGCUGGGGAUAGACUUCAGUUUCUCUACAAUAAUUGGAGUUGGUGUUGGAGCUGGAGCCUACAUCCUGGCGAGAUAUGCUCUUAACCACCCGGACACUGUUGAAGGUCUUGUCCUCAUCAACAUCGAUCCCAAUGCCAAGGGUUGGAUGGAUUGGGCAGCCCACAAGGUUUGGAGGGGCGUGUGUGCUGAGACCUAGGGUUGGGGAUCCCCUCGUAUGGAUCCAGUUAGGCUGUCUACCAGAGCCUAACUGGAUGGACUCCGAACUUCAAGGAGGGAGUAAAGGGGCAGGAAAGUGAAGCUGUCACUUUGCCUGAGUCUCUUAUAAUAUCCUGAAUUUUCCUUUUUUCUUUUUUCUUUUUCUUUUUUUUUUUUUUUUCUUGAGAUGAUGUCUCACUCUGUUGCCAAGGCUGGAGUGCAGUGGCUUGAUCUUGGCUCACUGCAACCUCCGCCUCCCGGGUUCAAGUGAUUCUCCUGCCUCAGCCUCCCAAAUAGCUGGGAUUACAGGUGCCCACCACCACGCCCAGCUAAUAUUUGUAUUAUUAGUAGAGAUGGG
rnacentral:sRNA from 1 species